ACGGAACAUAUUGUCCCUCGGAUAUCCGAGAUUGAUCCUUACGUCCGUGUCCGAGGCGGGAUACCCGCAGGACGUCCUUCGGAGAUCAGCCCACGGACAACGAAUUUUCGUUAGCCCACGGACGUCCCUAAAUGGAUGUAGAAAUUUCGUGAUCCGUGGGACGUCCUUCUAUGGGCAUUUGAACAGAUCUUAAUUCAUUGACACAGUCAAAAUUUGAAAGUCGAUGUCCAUGUACACUGCUUGCAGGAUGAAAAGGGGGAAAGGAACGCUCUUCUUGUUGUGCAUUGUAACCAAUAGUAACGCAGUACAAUGUGCUGCAAUGGUGUCCAUAUUUGCAGUAUGUGAACUGCGAUAAUACAAUCAAAAAUAGUUUUCUAACAUUAAUUAUAAACUAAAAAGUACUUCGAAUAACUUUAUCGGAACCGAAAGCAUAAAUAUUUUUAACAAUUAUUUUGGCUCGAUACGAAACCCGAGCCGAUCGAACGGCUGCAUCUGCAUGGCUGAAUCAGUCUAGUCCGGCGCCAUCUUUGUUUUUGUGAGCUCGGCGUUUGCACGUGAGAUAACCGUUUUCUUUGCACGCGUCCGCUUUCUCAAAAUGUGUUGUAUGAGGUGGAUUGCGAAGCAGCAGUGGGAUAUUUUCCCUGAAUGGGCUAUAGCAGAUCCUAGAGAGCGAGUCUUCUCACAGAAUCGAUACAAUCAAGAUGGCAUCGAAAGGCAGCCCUGCCGUGUCCUCGUUGUGUGUUGGAUAGAAGAAGAACCUCCGGUUGAGGACCACAUUUCGCGUUGAAGACGACGAAUACGUUGGGGGAACCGGGGCGAGCAGUAACACGCGGGCAAGCAGUAUACCUGCUCGAAAAGGACGACUCAAGUUUCAGUGCAGGCCGCGACUUUUACUUGGUGUGUGUGAGCUUGUGCCUUUGUUGUCAUCAACCAAUGAACUUCUCUGACACAAUUCGUGAGAAAAGAACGAUGCGCACUGCACAGCAGCUAGCUAGGUCGGGGAGAAGCAGAUUCCGAAGGGGAUUAGCCGAUGAGGCCUCGUUAAGGAUCCUGAUGAUUUCACUCAGAUUCACUCCAAACAAGAGCUCCUAAUUGUAUACCCCAGGAGCAACAAGGGAGGUCGUGUCUGAACUUGCACGUCAGGACCAGGAAGCAGUUUCAGCAGGGCAGCACAGGACAAGAUGCUGAGGACACAGUGACCACCGUGCAACUGAAGUCUUGCCUGUGUCCCAUGUGAUGAACAGUUGUCUACCCAUAGUUUUCUACAUUACAUACUGCGUGCCUGUGGAACUCCCCAGCUCUUAUGUACAGGUAUCCGUACAGUUAACUAAUCUCCAGCUCCUGUGGCUUUGCCCCGAUAAGCGCCCAACUAACCGCUGACGACGCAAACACUAGUGAACUCGUCCAGAGGUGGCGGGAUUUUUCUUCUACUGCAUUCCUGUGCACACUCGCGCUAUAAGACAAAAACAUACACGCGCGCAACAGAAUAGCAGAAAAAAAGAUAAGAAGUCUGCAAUCUUCAUCUCAUUUUUUCUUUGUGUGUGUGUCUCAUACGACAUACCUUCGUUUGUAAGCGUGAGUUGGGCCCACCCCUGGACGAGCUCACUUGUGUUUGCGUCGUCAGCCGCUAGUUGGGCACUUAUCGGAGCAAAGCCACGGGAGCGGGAGAUGGGUUAACUGUACAGAUACCUGUACAUAAAAAGAUUUAGGACAUUUAGCAAAAGCUCGGUAUACCUGAGCAAAGCUUCCAGAAUUUUUUCAACUUUGCACAGCUGAGAAUUUAAUUACUUUUACAGCUGUCAUAUCUUAGUACUUUCAUUUUCCUCAAGUAAAUCUUGGUCCCUGUUGCAAACGCCCUUGCCAAACACAAGUGCCAUGUUUUCCGGUCCAUAAAAUAGUCUUAUUCAGUGCCGGAUUUAGAGGAGGGCUCACGGGGCACUUGUCCCGGGGCCCCCACCACAAAGCCCCCACCACUGUAAUUCCGGCACUGGUCUUAUUACUGAUGUGAGGCCACAGAGACAGUAGUCAGUAAUUUAGAUAGCUAUUUGGAUUUCUACCUUUUAUACCUUAGAUAUUUUGAAUUUACCUCAAGUACAAACAGUUUUGCUUUUAGGCUGCAGCAGAGCGCUCUUUUGUGUUCCUAUUGACCUUUUGAUGGGCUUGCUGGUGGUUAACGAAUUUACACUCAGUCUUCUGUGCUGCUGUGCGCACAAAGGUCAUGUGCCAUAACGACAUUAUGUACAGCUUCUAUAAAGAUUUUCCAAUUUUGGAAUAUGUCCUGUACGCCUUAGCAAGCCUCACACAAAUUUCGUAAGUUUUAGUGCUUCACGUUGCUUAUAGUUUAGUUAGUCGUGUUUACAACUAUUCAUCUCGAUUGGUUGUGUUUGUCACAUUCAUUUUACCGGUGAACAUGCAGAUUCAAUUGAGUAACAAGCAAUCUGUUUUGCAUGCUGUUUUUUCAUACCUGUUGCAAAAAUCUUUGCCAAACAAGAGCAUCGUGUACUAUACAAGCACGGUUGUCUGAGAGAUGCAUCUUUUCCAAAUUUUCUUGUUGUCCUUUCUGUGUCCUAUUCUUUUCCAAGGUGACAAUGGGGAAUUGUGUGGCCACAGGCUGCAGCUUUUAGACAACUGUGUCCAGUUAUUUUGGUCCAUAGCACAGUAUAUGUGCCUUUUUGUUACCUCAGUGGUUUUUAUGCCCUUACAGUUUAGUUUUUUAUACAUGUGUAUGUACUAUUAGCAUUUACCUAAAGAUACAGUUUUACCGAUGCCUUCAGGGCAAAUCAGAGGACUCUUUUUUAUGAUAGUGAGCUUAUCGAUGACCUCGCCGGUGCUCUAGGUUCACCCUGUACGCAAAUAUAUGUAUUGCCAUCUUGAUAUGUAUCUCAGAAUUUUUUUGUUUUCUAAUUUACAUCUUAUAUACGUUCUUCGCAAUAUUUUGCUACCUUGCCUUACAGUUGCUGUUGAUGUGUGAGGUUAUUUUGCUUCCAUCUACUGGAAGGUUUUUAAGAAUAAACCUAGUUAUUCUUACAUUUGCAUCCAGUGUGGCAAGUGGUUUCAUAGUGAACACGUGCUCUAGUUGCA